rnacentral:lncRNA from 1 species
CAAUCGUAGGCGUUAGGGAGACAUCCGGUAAGAUUUCUUGUCACUGGCAGAUUGGCAGGAGGUAGGGGUAGGGGAGAAGGUCUAUGCAACGAUGUGAAAAACUAAACGGCUCUUAGCUUUCUGUAUGGGUGAAAAAAGUAAUUAAAAAUUAAAUGUUAAAAACUCAUUUAAUGAUGUGGCAUAGCCAACUCAACAACCACAUCAGAUGGUACACA